rnacentral:rRNA from 1 species
GGAUCCAGACUUUGAUUAUGGCUCAGGAUGAACGCUGGCGGCAUGCCUAAGACAUGCAAGUCGAACGAGAUGGCCCAGUGAAGGUUGCGUGCUUGCACAAGACUGAAUCUGGAUCACCAUCUAGUGGCAGACGGGUGAGUAACACGUGGGUGACCUACCUUUUCGUUGGGGAUAACAGUUGGAAACGAUUGCUAAUACCGAAUAAAAUAUAAGAGCCAAUUUUAUAUUGAAAGGAGCCUUUAAAGCUUCGCGAUUAGAUGGGCCUGCGGCGUAUUAACUUGUUGGUGAGGUAACGGCUCACCAAGGUAACGAUGCGUAGCCGAACUGAGAGGUUGAUCGGCCACACUGGGACUGAGACACGGCCCAGACUCCUACGGGAGACAGCGGUUAGGAAUAUUCGUCAAUGGGGGAAACCCUGAACGAGCAAUGCCGCGUGAGUGAUGACGGUCCUUUGGAUUGUAAAACUCUGUUGUAUGGAAAAAAUGACUAGGUUAGGAAAUGAACCUAGUGUGAUGGUACCAUACCAGAAAGCCCCGGCUAACUACGUGCCAGCAGCCGCGGUAAUACGUAGGGGGCAAGCGUUAUCCGGAUUUAUUGGGCGUAAAGCGUGUGUAGGCGGUUUGUUAAGUUUAAGAUUAAAGCCUGGGGCUCAACUCCAGUUCGUCUUAAAAACUGGCAGACUAGAGUACGGUAGAGGCAAACGGAAUUUCUAGUGUAGCGGUGAAAUGCGUAGAUAUUAGAAGGAACACCAGUGGCGAAAGCGGUUUGCUGGGCCGUUACUGACGCUGAGGCACGAAAGCGUGGGGAGCAAAUAGGAUUAGAUACCCUAGUAGUCCACGCCGUAAACGAUGAGUACUAAGUGUUGGGGUUUCCCAGUGCUGAAGCUAACGUAUUAAGUACUCCGCCUGAGUAGUACGGUCGCAAGGCUGCAACUCAAAGGAAUUGACGG